CUGGUACUUCUCCGUCCAACGAAAGAUGUUUUAAAUUUGUCAAAAUUUGGAUGUGUAUCUAACAUGAUUUAGUUGAGAUGCAUUCAAAUUUAGUCAAAGUUGAGACAUCAUUUGUUGGACGGAAGAAGUACCAA
rnacentral:pre_miRNA from 1 species